UACGUAGGGUGCAGGCGUUGUCCGGAAUGAUUGGGCGUAAAGCGUCCGCAGGUGGCUAUGUAAGUCUGCUGUUAAAGAGUCAUGCUCAACAUGAUAAGAGCAGUGGAAACUACAUGGCUAGAGUGCGUUCGGGGCAGAGGGAAUUCCUGGUGUAGCGGUGAAAUGCGUAGAUAUCAGGAAGAACACCGGUGGCGAAGGCGCUCUGCUAGGCCGCAACUGACACUGAGGGACGAAAGCUAGGGGAGCGAAUGGG
rnacentral:rRNA from 1 species